UCAUCAUCAUUUACCGCCAACGAUAAAAGAAUAUUACGAUAGCAAAAGUCUCCCAUCCGUGGGAGACGUUUUUGGCCAGUU
rnacentral:ncRNA from 10 species